UGCUUAACACAUGCAAGUCGAACGGUGAACACGGAGCUUGCUCUGUGGGAUCAGUGGCGAACGGGUGAGUAACACGUGAGCAACCUGCCCCUGACUCUGGGAUAAGCGCUGGAAACGGCGUCUAAUACUGGAUAUGUGACGUGAUCGCAUGGUCUGCGUCUGGAAAGAAUUUCGGUUGGGGAUGGGCUCGCGGCCUAUCAGCUUGUUGGUGAGGUAAUGGCUCACCAAGGCGUCGACGGGUAGCCGGCCUGAGAGGGUGACCGGCCACACUGGGACUGAGACACGGCCCAGACUCCUACGGGAGGCAGCAGUGGGGAAUAUUGCACAAUGGGCGCAAGCCUGAUGCAGCAACGCCGCGUGAGGGACGACGGCCUUCGGGUUGUAAACCUCUUUUAGCAGGGAAGAAGCGAAAGUGACGGUACCUGCAGAAAAAGCGCCGGCUAACUACGUGCCAGCAGCCGCGGUAAUACGUAGGGCGCAAGCGUUAUCCGGAAUUAUUGGGCGUAAAGAGCUCGUAGGCGGUUUGUCGCGUCUGCUGUGAAAUCCGGAGGCUCAACCUCCGGCCUGCAGUGGGUACGGGCAGACUAGAGUGCGGUAGGGGAGAUUGGAAUUCCUGGUGUAGCGGUGGAAUGCGCAGAUAUCAGGAGGAACACCGAUGGCGAAGGCAGAUCUCUGGGCCGUAACUGACGCUGAGGAGCGAAAGGGUGGGGAGCAAACAGGCUUAGAUACCCUGGU
rnacentral:rRNA from 1 species